GACGAACCGUCCAAACGUUAUUCGGUAUCACUGGGCUUAAAGCGUGCGUAGGCGGCCUGGUAGGUGAGAUGUGAAAGCCCACGGCUCAACCGUGGAAUUGCGUUUCAAACCACCAGGCUUGAGGAUGGCAGGGGUGAUGGGAACUGAUGGUGGAGCGGUGAAAUGCGUUGAUAUCAUCAGGAACACCGGUGGCGAAGGCGCAUCACUGGGCCAUUUCUGACGCUGAGGCACGAAAGCUAGGGUAGCGAACGGG
rnacentral:ncRNA from 2 species